rnacentral:rRNA from 1 species
CCUACGGGAGGCUGCAGUGAGGAAUAUUGGUCAAUGGACGAGAGUCUGAACCAGCCAAGUAGCGUGAAGGAUGACUGCCCUAUGGGUUGUAAACUUCUUUUAUAUGGGAAUAAAAUGUUCCACGUGUGGGAUUUUGUAUGUACAAUAUGAAUAAGGAUCGGCUAACUCCGUGCCAGCAGCCGCGGUAAUACGGAGGAUCCGAGCGUUAUCCGGAUUUAUUGGGUUUAAAGGGAGCGUAGGUGGAUUGUUAAGUCAGUUGUGAAAGUUUGCGGCUCAACCGUAAAAUUGCAGUUGAAACUGGCAGUCUUGAGUACAGUAGAGGUGGGCGGAAUUCGUGGUGUAGCGGUGAAAUGCUUAGAUAUCACGAAGAACUCCGAUUGCGAAGGCAGUUCACUGGACUGCAACUGACACUGAGGCUCGAAAGUGUGGGUAUCAAACAGGAUUAGAUACCCGAGUAGUC